rnacentral:rRNA from 1 species
CCAAUGGCACUGCCCGGUAGCUAAAUGCGGAAGAGAUAAGUGCUGAAAGCAUCUAAGCACGAAACUUGCCCCGAGAUGAGUUCUCCCUGAGACUAUAAGUCUCCUGAAGGAACGUUAAAGACGAUGACGUUGAUAGGCCGGGUGUGUAAGCGCAGCGAUGCGUUGAGCUAACCGGUACUAAUGAACCGUGAGGCUUAACCUUAC